UACAUGGGGUGCAAACGUUGCUCGGAAUUAUUGGGCGUAAAGCGCGCGUAGGCGGUUACUCAAGUCGGAUGUGAAAGCCCUCGGCUUAACUGAGGAAGUGCACCCGAAACUGAGUAGCUAGAGUACUAAAGAGGGUCGCGGAAUUCCCGGUGUAGAGGUGAAAUUCGUAGAUAUCGGGAGGAACACCUGUGGCGAAGGCGGCCAUCUGGACGUCAACUGACGCUGAGACGCGAAAGCGUGGGGAGCGAACAGG
rnacentral:rRNA from 1 species